CCUCAUCGUCAUAAAGGAAUCGCGCAUGAGAAAAAAAAUAAUGAAUUGUUUUUUUUAUAUCACUCCAGGUGGCGUUCUACAUAUAAACAUUACUCAAUGGAAUACGAAGAAGACUUUGCAAUUAAUAACAAAUCUCAUGACAGACAAGCGUAUAUUUAAGUUGGACCUCAUUGGAAAUGGGCUGGACUCCGGCCUAAUGGGCGUUCCUGAUGCUCGUGAUGUAGACAAAGAAGCCACAACUAUCAGAAAAGGAUGUCCGGACAGAAAGGGCAACAGAACAUUCCAAUUAUUUAUAGAUAGUAAUAUUGUAUUAUUACUGCUAAUGUUUAUCUUAUUAAUAAAGUAACCUGUUGUUGUGAAGAAUAUAGAUAUAAUGCUUGAAAAUAAAUGUCAAA